rnacentral:rRNA from 1 species
UACGGAGGGUGCAAGCGUUGUCCGGAAUUAUUGGGCGUAAAGAGCUCGUAGGCGGUCUGUCGCGUCGGCUGUGAAAACCCACAGCUCAACUGUGGGCUUGCAUUCGAUACGGGCAGGCUAGAGUUCGGUAGGGGAGACUGGAAUUCCUGGUGUGAGCGGUGGAAAUGCGCAGAUAUCAGGAGGAACACCCGGUGGCGAAGGCGGGUCUCUGGGCAGUAACUGACGCUGAGGAGCGAAAGCGUGGGGAGCGAACAGG